rnacentral:rRNA from 1 species
UACAGAGGUGCCGAGCGUUAGGCGGAAUCACUGGGCUUAAAGCGUGUGUAGGCGGACGUCUAAGUACCUUGUGAAAUCCCACGGCUCACCCGUGGAACUGCUGGGUAUACUGGGCGUCUUGAGCCACCUAGGGGCCAGCGGAACAAAUGGUGGAGCGGUGAAAUGCGUAGAUAUCAUUUGGAACGCCAACGGUGAAAACAGCUGGCUGGGGGUGUGCUGACGCUGAGGCACGAAAGCCAGGGGAGCGAACGGG